GGAACUUUAUUGUUUAUUUAUUUUUUUACCCCCACUUACAUAUUUUCAGGAUGGUAUAAACGUGAUGGACGUCUACCCUUUUGGAUUUUGACAUUUAUCUCAUUUGUGUUCGGUUAUAUUAUUCUGGAAUCUUUUAGAGCAACGAUCAUAUCAGAAUUGGCUUUUGAACGACAACUCGUAAAAGUUUUUGAUGAUUUGUUUACUAAUGGAUUCAAAAUACUCACAAAUCCACUGCAACAAUGGGGAAGAUACAUUGCACCAACGGGCAGAGAUCGAGAGGAAUUUAUGAGGGAAAUAGCAACAUUUUACAAAAAUGACAGUGACAGUGCUAUCAAAGUUAUUCGAGGGGGUUAUGCGUUCCUGUCAACUUGGGAUUACUUUCCAGAACUUUGGGUUUCAACGAUGUAGAAUUAUGCUCAUCCGUGAGUGGUGUCACUGUUCGUAAUAUGGCUGCUUAUUCGGGAUUCUACGUUGCCAAAAAUUCCAAAAUCAAGGAACCAAUGAAUUAUGGAUUAAUCAGAGUUCUCGAGCAUGGAUUGCAUACAAAGCAUUACACGGAUUUCUUAAGUGAUUCAACUCUUAAAUGUUUGGCUAAAGGGUUUAAAAAAAAUAUUCAAUCUGCUACUGAGCUUCAAUUUAGAGAUGUUUCUACUGCAUUUGCUGUAAUUAUUUUUGGAAUAUCUCUUAGCUUAAUUUUUGCGCUUUUUGAACGAUUAUACUUUAUUGUUAAAAUUAAAUUUCACUAUU